rnacentral:lncRNA from 10 species
AAAAAACAUAUCCAAGAGGAGAUGGUGAAACAAGAGAGCACAGGGUCCUUGUUCUACCCCCAGAUCAAAGCAAGGAGAGGAGGAGCAAGAUGGCAAAAUAGAUGGCUCCACUGAUCUCCACCUGCCAACAAGGACAUCAAUAUAACAGCUAUCUACACAGAAAAAAGCACCUUCAUAUAAGCAAAAUGCAGGUAUUAAAUUAUGAAAUAUAUAUAUGUCUUCAAAUCAAUUAAAUAUAAAAGAAGACAUACAUAUGGCCAGUGGGAAUAUAAAAAAUGCUCAACAUCACUAAACAUCAGGGAAAUGCCAAUUAAAACCACAAUGAGAUAUCACCUCACAUCUGUUAAAACGGCUGUUGUCUAAAAGACAAAAGAUAUAUAUUCAAAGGAAACGAAGUCAGCAUGUCAAAGAGAUAUCUGCACUCCCAUGUUCAUUGCAAGCACUAUUUACAAUAACCAAAAUAUGGAAUCAACCUAAGUGUCCAUCAAUGUAUGAACAGAUGAAGAAAAUGUGCUCUAUAUAUACAAUGGAAUACUACUCAGCUAUUAAACAGUAAGGAAAUCCUGCCAUUUGAACGACAUGAACGAACUUGGAGGACAUUAGGCACAGAGAGACAAACACUGCAUGAUUUCACUUAUAUAUGGAACCAAAAAGUUGAACUUUAGCAGAGAGUGAAAUGCAUUUCAGAUCUGGUUACUGUGAGCCAUUCACUCAUUUAACAACUACUCAUUGAAUAGUGACUGGUUUGUUGAGUGCCUACAAUGUUCCAGCUGUUAUUCUAAGAUAUCCAAGGAAGUGUGGUUGUCCUGAGAAGUCAACAGCGGCAACAGUCUCUUUGGAGACAGGAACGAACAUGAGACCAAGAUAUGUUCAAGGUGAGUAUUCCAUCUCUUUCUAUAUAUCUUUUCCUAUGGGGUGCAAGAGAGAGAGUUUCAUAACCAUUGUCACAGGACCUCACAGGGGGAACCGUUCAAACCCACAUAGGUCAAAAACACACCAAUAGCAUUCAAAUUCUUCAAAUAUUUUAGGUUUUUCCACCUGAUUUACAUUUAACAGCAAACUCAACACCAGAAUAAAUAAUUACAUUCUCCAAGUAAAAACCAAUCAUUAAAUUGAAAUAGACAAAUAUCUGCCAAUAAAAAAAGCAAUUGCUAUCUCAAAUAACUUGUUCAUAACUACCAAGUUACCCAGUGUUUAUUGGAAACCAUUUUCUGGAGAUUAUUUCAAUUUAAAAAGACUUUUAAUAUUGUCCCACACCGUUAUUAAAUAUCUAUAUGCAUUAAUUUUCCUUGUAGCAAUAGCUAUCACACAAAGGUUUAUGCAUCUAGGUACCAUUCUAAACACAUUUCAUGCAUAUACUCAUUUAAUCCUUCUAGCAAUGAUCUGAGAUAGAUAGAAAUAUUACCGACCCCAUUUAUAGAUGAGGGAACAAAGAUGCAGAGAAAUUUACUAACCUGCCCAUGGUUAUCUGGCUAAUAAGUAGCAGUUUGUCUUUUCCUCACCAACUGCCUCUUUCUCUUUAUAUUUUAUAAAAAUGUAGUAUAUUUUUAUUUUAAAGCUUUU